rnacentral:rRNA from 1 species
UUAAGCAUAUCACUAAGCGGAGGAAAAGAAACUAACAAGGAUUCCCCUAGUAACUGCGAGUGAAGAGGGAUUAGCCCAGCACCGAAGGUAGUAUCCGUUUGGGUACCUACCAAUGUGGUGUUUUGGUCAGCUUGUAUGAGUGCGGCUCCAUCUCAAGUCCAGCAAUGAGUACGGUUUUUUGGACUUGGCCCAGAGCGGGUGAAAGGCCCGUUGAGGUGGAGAUCAGGUAUGACCGCGCUUGUCUUGUUUGACCAUGGAGUCGGGUUGUUUGUGAAUGCAGCCCUAAGUGGGUGGUAAACUCCAUCCAAGGCUAAAUACUUGCACGAGUCCGAUAGCGAACAAGUACCGUGAGGGAAAGUUGAAAAGUACUUUGAAGAGAGAGUAAACAGUGCGUGAAGCCGCAUAGAGGUUAAACGGGUAGAGUUAAGCUGCGUGGGUCAUGGAUUCAGCUGGUGAACUUGACUUGUGCUUGGGCACAUUGUAUCGUCUUCUGAGUCUGCUUAGCUGCGGGUUCCAGGAUUCCUGGGAUAUGCGACGCACUUACUGGGUGCUGCAUGCUUAGUUGAUGAGAUGUCGGUUCGUCGGUGCACUUCUAUGGCUCCUUGACCACGAUCGGUGUCGUUGAAUUGCCCUCGUUGUCAAACUGUGGAUGUAGGCCAUCACCUAUGUCCUCGGUGUGACAGCACCCCUGUGAAUGCAGGUCGCAGUUGUCAGCGGGAAGUAAUUCAGUGGACCGGGACAGCGGCCUUGGUUGCCCUUGCAUGCUCUUCUAGAUUAUGUUGGGUAUGGUUAUUUGUGUGCCUGUGCAAACUGGCCCUGUGACUACACAAUGUUGUCUAGUAGAGUAUUGUUUGGGAAACCUCCUUAUGGGCCAAAGUCAGUGGUGUGUGGUAAACUUUCUACCCGACCCGUCUUGAAACACGGACCAAGGAGUUUAACAUGUGCGCGAGUCAUUGGGCCAUCCGUAACCCAAAGGCGAAGUGAAAGUGAAGGUUUGCUUUGGCAGACUGUGGUGAGAUCCUGUCGUCUCCUGUGCCACCAAGCAUUCGAACGGCAGGCGCAUCACCGGUCCGUCCAAUAAUGUGGUUGAGAUCAUUGGUUUCACAUCAUUGGGGCGGAACAUGAGCGCACACGUUGAGACCCGAAAGAUGGUGAACUAUGCUUGCGCAGGUUGAAGCCAGGGGAAACCCUGGUGGAGGACCGCAGCGAUUCUGACGUGCAAAUCGAUCGUCAAACGUGAGUAUAGGGGCGAAAGACUAAUCGAACCAUCUAGUAGCUGGUUCCCUCC